GGCUACAUAGUGAUAUAAACACCAGUUGCCGUACAAUCAGCGAUGUUAAGCAACGUCGAGCCUGGUCAGUAGCUAGAUGGGUGACCGCUUGGGAAUACCAGGUGC